CUGAGUGUCCAUUCAGAGUUCGUCCACUGGCUUUAUUACAAAUUAGGAGAGAAAUAAGAAAACUGAGGUGACCAGCAGUGAGGCCUUUAGUGGACUGAGGUCAGCUGGUCAGUGGCACCGGUCAGCAUGUGACGUGUGAGUGUCAGAAGUGUCACAUGUCAGUCCUGCCCACCCUGUCCAUUAUGUCACUGAUCACACAGUCAGUCCAGUCUUUGUCACAAUAGACAGACAGAGUGUCCUCAUCGUCUAAGUGGUCUGACAUCAGGAGAGCCCACCAUGACAGACACUCGAGUGUCACACUCUCUGAUGUCCAGCAGUGACCGGCGUGUCCAACAGGAAUCUGUGGAUGGGGUCCUGCAAAUCAGUCAAAGCCCCUCCAUGUGCUGAGUCCUCAGUUACAGACACAAAUCCAAGGUGGUCCCUCCACUGUCAUCAGCUUUGACAAGUCUGUCUGGACCCCCGAGUGCAGGACACUGUCAGCCUCAUGUCCUUCACAUUCCUGUCCACAUGUCACUUUGAGUGACUUGUCACCAGUCAGUGUGGCAGGAAGGCAGAAGACGCUGUCAGGUAUAUAGCGCCUUACCUUAUAAGGACAGCGGUGGUCUCAGGGUCAAAGUGCAUUUCAGUGAAGACGGCGCAGUCAUUGAGCCCUUGUGCUGUGUGUCCUUCUGUCUGUCUGUCUGUCUGUCCUCACUCGUCUCUCUUCUUCUCCACAGGUUGUACUCUUGUGGUCUCACCUCGGCCUGCUGCUCAGCUCUCUCCUCGGUCCUCUCGUCUCCAAACUCACGGCUGACUGAACUGUGGCUGAGCAACAACAAGCUGGGAGAUUCAGGGGCUCGUCAGCUGAGUGAGGGGCUCAGGAGUGACAACUGUAAAUUAACAGACCUGAGGUUGGGUCUUGUGGUCUCACCUCGGCCUGCUGCUCAGCUCUCUCCUCGGUCCUCUCGUCUCCAAACUCACGGCUGACUGAACUGUGGCUGAGCAACAACAACCUGGGAGAUUCAGGGGCUCAUCAGCUGAGUGAGGGGCUCAGGAGUGACAACUGUAAAUUAGAGACACUGUGGCUGUCUGGUAACGGGAUCAGUGAAAGUGAGAAGAGGAACCUGAGGUCAGUACAGGGGGAGCUGAGGAGGUCUGGACAUCAGCUGAUUAUCUACACAUGAGAAGACCAGCAGUGGUGAUCAGACUGACCCCCUGUCAGUGACGGAGCCCCCCGUCCCCUCUCCCCUAAAUUCUCCUCUUUCUUCUUUUUCUUCUCCUCUCAGCUCUGCUCCUCAUUUAAUAAACUCUCCGUGUCCCCUCA